rnacentral:rRNA from 1 species
AUGGGAAGCUCAAGGCCAAGGCAACUGAGUGGAUGCAGCCAAAUGAUGAUUAGAUAUGAUGCACAACCAUCACAGAGGCCCACAGAUUUUAUUUGCCAACCUGGUCCAGCCAUGCACAUCGACCUUCUCAACAGGGAGCGGCUUCGUUAUCCAAUGCGGGAUAAGCGCGGCAAAGUCGCUAGAACGAAGUGGUGGAAGUCAAGUGUGAGGCAGCUGAGGCUUUCAAGGAGAGGAUCAUUAAGGAGGGCCCUUGGGAGGAAAGAGGUGAUGCAGGAGUUUGGAGUGUCCAGGGGAAGCAACCGCGAAGUUAAAGAUACCUGGUGCUGGAAAGAUAAUGUCCAGAAGGCUAUUAAGGAGAAGAAAGAUUGUUUGAGACACACACACCUGGAUAGGAGUGCAAACAACAUAGAGAAGUACAAAGUGGCAAAGAAGGUCGCAAAUACUACUAGGAAUGAGGAGGAGGUUAGCCUUCAUGGGCAGAUGAUACCUCAGAAGGACACCUUUUGA